GUGCUUGCUUCGGCAGCACAUAUACUAAAAUUGGAAGGACAUAGAGAAAAUUAGCAUGGCCCCUGCGCAAGGAUGACAUGCAAAUUCGUGAAGCAUCCCAUAUUUAA
ensembl:snRNA U6 U6 spliceosomal RNA